CGCCAGUGUCGCCCAUGUUGUUCUUUCAUGGAGAAACGAGGCGAAAUGAGCGAAACAAAUUGUUGCGGAUUAAUUUAUAUACUUAUUCCUGUGAUUUCAAAUACCAAUUUGAGCUUCGUAUCUUAUAUGCAUACUGUCAGUCAUUCCAACAAGUUGACUUAGCGCUCAGUCAAUUUCAACCUAUUAGGCCCAUCAUGAUGUCAAAAGCCAAAAACUCAUGUUUGAAGCAGACAUAUAGUGGAAUAAAAAUGUGCUGAGAUAAGGAUCUUUUCUGAAUCUCGCAAUUUUGGUGGUGUACCCUGAAACAGCAUGUUUUUUGUUAUGGCUGUUUCUACUUCUGUUUAGAAGGCAACCCAGAUGAGGGAUAGAGUUUUAGAGACAUGAAUGUGAAGUGACCUGCCAUGUAUGUACCAGAUCUGCUUGAUGAAAGUCAAAUGCCUUACUAAAUUCAUCACCCGUAUGAUAAAGCAUCAGGAAGUUUAUCUCAUCAUGUGGAGUUAUGCUGUUGGUUUCUGUGAAUUCAAUUUUUAUGGUUUCUUCUCUCUUCCUGUUCUUAUCAUGAACAUUUCAGUGUGUUUCUUA